CAUGUCUGUAGGGAGCAUCCAUAGC
rnacentral:piRNA from 1 species